rnacentral:rRNA from 1 species
CCCUUAGAUGUUCUGGGCCGCACGCGUGCUACACUGACCGGUGCAACAAGUUUCUUUCCUUGGCUCGAUAGGCCUGGGUAAUCUUUGAACACCGGUCGUGAUGGGGAUAGAUCCUUGCAAUUUUUGAUCUUCAACGAGGAAUUCCUAGUAAACGCAAGUCAUCAACUUGCAUUGAUUACGUCCCUGCCCUUUGUACACACCGCCCGUCGCACCUACCGAUUGAAUGGUCCGGUGAAGCCUCCGGAUUGGCGCGCACCUCGGUGCCGCCGAGAAGUUGGCUAAACCUUACCAUUUAGAGGAAGGUGAAGUCGUAACA